AUCUAUGGCCAUGCUACCCUGAACAAGCCCAAUGUCUGAUCUCGGAAGCUAAGCAGGGUCAGGCCUGGUUAGUACUUGGAUGGGAGACCACCUAGGAAGACCAGGUGCUGUAGGCA
rnacentral:rRNA from 1 species